rnacentral:rRNA from 1 species
GACGAACGCUGGCGGCGUGCUUAACACAUGCAAGUCGAACGGAAAGGCCCUGCUUGCAGGGUACUCGAGUGGCGAACGGGUGAGUAACACGUGGGUGAUCUGCCCUCCACUUCGGGAUAAGCCUGGGAAACUGGGUCUAAUACCGGAUAGGAGCCACUUUUUGCGUGAUGGUUGGAAAGUUCUUUCGGUGUAGGAUGAGCUCGCGGCCUAUCAGCUUGUUGGGGGGGUAAUGGCCUACCAAGGCGGCGACGGGUAGCCGGCCAGAGGGGGUGGGCGGCGACAUUGAGACCGACGUGCGGCCCAGAUGCGGACUGGUGGCCAAAGGGGGGAAGAUUGCACAAUGGGCGCAGGGCUGGUGCAGCGGCGCCGCGGGUGGGAUAACGGCCUUGUUGUGGAAGACACGUUGCACUAGGAACGAAGGUUGUUGUGACGGUACCUAGAGAAGAAGCACCGGCUAACUACGUG